rnacentral:rRNA from 1 species
GACGAACGCUGGCGGCGUGCUUAACACAUGCAAGUCGAGCGAUGAAGCACCUUCGGGUGUGAAUUAGCGGCGAACGGGUGAGGAACACGUGAGAAAUCUGCCUUCAACUCUGGGAUAACUCCGUGAAAACGGGGCUAAUACCGGAUAUGAAACCUGCCGGCAUCCGAGGGUUUGGUAAGUUUUUCGGUUGAAGAUGAUCCCGGGGCCUAUCAGCUUGUUGGUGAGGUAAUGGCUCACAAAGGCGACGACGGGUAGCCGGCCUGAGAGGGCGACCGGCCACACUGGGACUGAGACACGGCCCAGACUCAUACGGGAGGCAGCAGUGGGGAAUAUUGGGCAAUGGAGGAAACUCUGACCCAGCGACGCCGCGUGCGGGAUGAAGGCCUUCGGGUUGUAAACCGCUUUCAGCAGGGAAGAAGCGAAAGUGACGGUACCUGCAGAAGAAGCACCGGCUAACUAUGUGCCAGCCGCCGCGGUAA